rnacentral:rRNA from 1 species
AUAUCACUAAGCGGAGGAAAAGAAAUUAACUAAGAUUGCCCCAGUAACGGCGAGUGAAGCGGCAAAAGCCCAAAUUGGUAAUCUUCACACUGUGUGUGACGAAUUGUAAUCUACAGGUGGAACACUCACCUAGUAGAGACGCAGAAGUGCCCUAGAAUGGGCCGCCAGAGAGGGUGACAGCCCCGUAUGUGGUGCCACUGCUUAACGAGCGGGUCCCGAAGAGUCGGGUUGUUUUGUAUUGCAGCCCUAAGUGGGAGAUAAACUUCUUCUAAGGCUAAAUACCUAUGGGAGACCGAUAGCGCACAAGUA